ACCUGGCUGGCUCAGUUGGUAGAGCAUGAGACUCUUGAUUUUGGGGUCAUGAGUUUGAGCCCCAUAUUGGGUG
rnacentral:tRNA from 1 species